CUGGGCCAAAUUACAUUAAACCAAAUUUGGCCAAAAUCAUCAUUGGGGUAUCUAGUUUAAAAAAUGUGUCCGGUGACCCGGCCAACCAACCAAGAUGGCCGCCAUGGCAAAAAAUAGAACACAGGGGUAAAAUGCAGUUUUUGGCUUAUAACUCAAAAACCAAAGCAUUUAGAGCAAAUCUGACAGGAUAAAAUUGUUUAUCAGGUCAAGAUCUAUCUGCCC
rnacentral:lncRNA from 1 species